CCUACGGGAGGCAGCAGUGAGGAAUAUUGGUCAAUGGGCGGGAGCCUGAAUCAGCCAAGCCGCGUGAAGGAAGAAGGCGCCAGGCGUCGUAAACUUCUUUUGUCGGGGUACAAAGUGCGCCACGCGUGUCGUUGUGAGUGUACCCGAAGAACAAGCAUCGGCUAACUCCGUGCCAGCAGCCGCGGUAAUACGGAGGAUGCGAGCGUUAUCCGGUUUUAUUGGGUUAAAAGGGUGCGUAGGCGGUCCGGAAAGUCAGCGGUAAAACCCCGGGGCUCAACCCCGGCGAGCCGUUGAAACUGUCGGACUAGAGACGGGGAGAAGUGAGUGGAAUGCGCGGUGUAGCGGUGGAAUGCAUAGAUA
rnacentral:rRNA from 1 species